rnacentral:ncRNA from 2 species
GAUACAUCAAGAGUAGUGGAGGGACAGGCCCUAUGAAGCUCGGCAACCACCUAUAAGGGAAAGGUGCUAAUUCCUACAAGGAAAUACCUUGGGAGAUGUUCA